AGUUUGAUCAUGGCUCAGAUUGAACGCUGGCGGCAUGCCUUACACAUGCAAGUCGAACGGCAGCACGGGAGCUUGCUCCUGGUGGCGAGUGGCGAACGGGUGAGUAAUGCAUCGGAACGUGCCCUGAAGUGGGGGAUAACGUAGCGAAAGUUACGCUAAUACCGCAUAUUCUGUGAGCAGGAAAGCAGGGGAUCUUCGGACCUUGCGCUUUUGGAGCGGCCGAUGUCGGAUUAGCUAGUUGGUGGGGUAAAGGCCCACCCAAGGCGACGAUCCGUAGCGGGUCUGAGAGGAUGAUCCGCCACACUGGAACUGAGACACGGUCCAGACUCCUACGGGAGGGCAGCAGUGGGGAAUUUUUGGACAAUGGGCGCAAGCCUGAUCCAGCCAUGCCGCGUGAGUGAAGAAGGCCUUCGGGUUGUAAAGCUCUUUCGGUGGGGAAGAAAUUGCUUGGGUUAAUACCCUGAGUAGAUGACGGUACCCGCAUAAGAAGCACCGGCUAACUACGUG
rnacentral:rRNA from 1 species